rnacentral:rRNA from 1 species
GACGAACGCUGGCGGCGUGCCUAAUACAUGCAAGUCGAACGCAGUGGGGACGGGUGAGUAACACGUGGGUAACAUCCCAACAGAGGGGAUAACACUUGGCAACAGGUGCUAAACAGGUACUGAUGGAUGGACCCGCGGUGCAUUAGCUAGUUGGUGAGGUAACGGCUAACCAAGGCCACGAUGCGUAGCCGACCGGAGAGGGUGAUCGGCCACAUUGGAUCUGAGACACGGCCCAUGCUCCUACGGAAGGCAGCAGUAGGGAAUCUUCGGCAAUGGGCGAAAGUCUUACCGAGCAACGCCGCGUGAGUGAAGAAGGUUUUCGGAUGGUAAAGCUCUGUUGUGAGAGAGGCGGUAUCUAACCAGAAAGCCACGGCUAACUACGUGCCAGCCGCCGCGGUAAUUC